AGUGAACGCUGGCGGUAGGCCUAACACAUGCAAGUCGAACGGCAGCACAGUAAGAGCUUGCUCUUACGGGUGGCGAGUGGCGGACGGGUGAGGAAUACAUCGGAAUCUACUUUUUCGUGGGGGAUAACGUAGGGAAACUUACGCUAAUACCGCAUACGACCUACGGGUGAAAGCAUGGGAUCUUCGGACCUUGCGUGAUUGAAUGAGCCGAUGUCGGAUUAGCGAGUUGGCGGGGUAAAGGCCCACCAAGGCGACGAUCCGUAGCUGGUCUGAGAGGAUGAUCAGCCACACUGGAACUGAGACACGGUCCAGACUCCUACGGGAGGCAGCAGUGGGGAAUAUUGGACAAUGGGCGCAAGCCUGAUCCAGCCAUACCGCGUGGGUGAAGAAGGCCUUCGGGUUGUAAAGCCCUUUUGUUGGGAAAGAAAAGCAGCAGGUUAAUACCCCGCUGUUCUGACGGUACCCAAAGAAUAAGCACCGGCUAACUUCGUG
rnacentral:rRNA from 1 species